rnacentral:lncRNA from 1 species
UGUGUUAUACCUUGAGGGUGAUUGGGAAACACGGAGACGAUGAAAAUAAUGAGGAAGGCUGAUCACAAGUAUCUUGAGGGAGACGAGGUGAUGAAUCUGGACCGUUCAUUUGAUUUUCAACGCCGUCAAAACCUGACAUUAUUGUUAUGUCCUUCUUUCUUUACCUUAUAUAUAAAAACAGAUGGCGAAACUUAAACGGAGUUAGAGGACGGAGAGAGAGAGAGGUGAGUGAAUAUGGAGAAGUCUGAAGAUCGGGGGGUGAGAUGCUGAGACCUCUAUUUAUGGAGAAGAAGUGGGACGUGAAAGGCAAGUGGAUGACACGUCAGCA